GACGAACGCUGGCGGCGUGCUUAACACAUGCAAGUCGAACGGAAAGGCCCUGCUUGCAGGGUACUCGAGUGGCGAACGGGUGAGUAACACGUGGGUGAUCUGCCCUGCACUUCGUGAUAAGCUUGGGAAACUGGGUCUAAUACCGGAUAGGAGCCAUCUUUAGUGUGGUGGUUGGAAAGUUUUUUCGGUGUAGGAUGAGCUCGCGGCCUAUCAGCUUGUUGGUGGGGUAAUGGCCUACCAAGGCGGCGACGGGUAGCCGGCCUGAGAGGGUGUACGGCCACAUUGGGACUGAGAUACGGCGCAGACUCCUACGGGAGGCAGCAGUGGGGAAUAUUGCACAAUGGGCGCAAGCCUGAUGCAGCGACGCCGCGUGGGGGAUGAAGGCCUUCGGGUUGUAAACUCCUUUCGCUAGGGACGAAGCUUUGUUGUGACGGUACCUAGAUAAGAAGCACCGGCUAACUACGUG
rnacentral:rRNA from 1 species